rnacentral:rRNA from 1 species
CUGUCUCCAACAUCGACUCAGCGAAAUUGAAUUACCUGUCAAGAUGCAGGUUUCCCGCGGUCAGACGGAAAGACCCCGUGCACCUUUACUACAGCUUCGCACUGGCAUCAGGAUUGUGAUGUGCAGGAUAGGUGGUAGGCUUUGAAACCGUGACGCCAGUCGCGGUGGAGCCUCCCUUGAGAUACCACCCUUUGCAUUCUUGAUGUCUAACCGCGGUCCGUUAUCCGGAUCCGGGACCAUGCGUGGUGGGUAGUUUGACUGG